rnacentral:rRNA from 1 species
GUAUGUGUGCCUGCUUUGUCCACAGCAUGUGCUGAAUGAAUCACAUUUCUUGCAAACUGAAAUGCAAAUGGCAUGGUAAAGUUCAUGUGACAUGACACAUGCUUGAGAUUCAUGAUGUGCAAGUACCAUGAGGGAAAUGUGAAAAAGGACUGUGGAAAGAGAAUUAAAUAAAGCCUGCAAUUGCUGGACAUGAAAGCAAGUGUAGACAUUCAUUGAAGUGUUACUGCAUCUCUACACCACCUUUAUGGUUACUGUAUGCUUUACAUUACAACACAAAUAAUGAAGUGUGUGUGUGUGUGUGUGUCUACUUUGCUUCAAUUGUUUCCACCUGGGAUCACUUGAAACAUUGUCUGAGCACUCUUCAGUACCACUAUGUGUACACCAGUAUAUUCCACUCCUUGUUGGCACACAUGUGAUGAUGAUGUGUUUAUGUGCCAUACUUCUGUGUUCACGAAACAUGUUGUGCACAUCUUCACUUGACCCG